rnacentral:rRNA from 1 species
AGAGUUUGAUCAUGGCUCAGGAUGAACGCUGGCGGCGUGCUUAACACAUGCAAGUCGAACGGGAAUGCUUCGCUGAUGCGAUUUCGGUCAAAUCUUGAAGCAUUUUAGUGGCGGACGGGUGAGUAACGCGUGGGUAACCUGCCCUGUACAGGGGGACAACAGUUGGAAACGACUGCUAAUACCGCAUAAGCGCACAGCUUCGCAUGAAGCAGUGUGAAAAACUCCGGUGGUACAGGAUGGACCCGCGUUUGAUUAGAUAGUUGGUGAGGUAACGGCCCACCAAGUCAACGAUCAGUAGCCGGCCUGAGAGGGCGAACGGCCACAUUGGGACUGAGACACGGCCCAAACUCCUACGGGAGGCAGCAGUGGGGAAUAUUGCACAAUGGGGGAAACCCUGAUGCAGCGACGCCGCGUGAGUGAAGAAGUAUUUCGGUAUGUAAAGCUCUAUCAGCAGGGAAGAAAACAAUGACGGUACCUGACUAAGAAGCCCCGGCUAACUACGUGCCAGCAGCCGCGGUAAUACGUAGGGGGCAAGCGUUAUCCGGAUUUACUGGGUGUAAAGGGAGCGUAGACGGUAGACCAAGUCUGAAGUGAAAGCCCGGGGCUCAACCCCGGAACUGCUUUGGAAACUGGUAAACUAGAGUGCAGGAGAGGUAAGUGGAAUUCCUAGUGUAGCGGUGAAAUGCGCAGAUAUUAGGAGGAACACCAGUGGCGAAGGCGGCUUACUGGACUGUAACUGACGUUGAGGCUCGAAAGCGUGGGGAGCAAACAGGAUUAGAUACCCUGGUAGUCCACGCCGUAAACGAUGAUUACUAGGUGUCGGGGAGUUAAACUCUUCGGUGCCGCAGCAAACGCAAUAAGUAAUCCACCUGGGGAGUACGUUCGCAAGAAUGAAACUCAAAGGAAUUGACGGGGGCCCGCACAAGCAGUGGAGUAUGUGGUUUAAUUCGACGCAACGCGAAGAACCUUACCAAGUCUUGACAUCCCUUGACAGGCAUAGAAAUAUGUUUUCUCUUCGGAGCAAGGAGACAGGUGGUGCAUGGUUGUCGUCAGCUCGUGUCGUGAGAUGUUGGGUUAAGUCCCGCAACGAGCGCAACCCUUAUGGUCAGUUGCUACGCAAGAGGACUCUGGCCAGACUGCCGUUGACAAAACGGAGGAAGGUGGGGAUGACGUCAAAUCAUCAUGCCCUUUAUGACUUGGGCUACACACGUACUACAAUGGCGUUAAACAAAGAGAAGCGAGACCGCGAGGUGGAGCAAAACUCAGAAACAACGUCCCAGUUCGGACUGCAGGUUGCAACUCGCCUGCACGAAGUCGGAAUUGCUAGUAAUCGUGGAUCAGCAUGCCACGGUGAAUACGUUCCCGGGCCUUGUACACACCGCCCGUCACACCAUGAGAGCCGGGGGGACCCGAAGUCGGUAGUCUAACCGCAAGGAGGACGCCGCCGAAGGUAAAACUGGUGAUUGGGGUGAAGUCGUAACAAGGUA